rnacentral:rRNA from 1 species
UGGGGAAUAUUGCACAAUGGGGGAAACCCUGAUGCAGCGACGCCGCGUGGAGGAAGAAGGUCUUCGGAUUGUAAACUCCUGUUGUUGAGGAAGAUAAUGACGGUACUCAACAAGGAAGUGACGGCUAACUACGUGCCAGCAGCCGCGGUAAAACGUAGGUCACAAGCGUUGUCCGGAAUUACUGGGUGUAAAGGGAGCGCAGGCGGGAGAACAAGUUGGAAGUGAAAUCCAUGGGCUCAACCCAUGAACUGCUUUCAAAACUGUUUUUCUUGAGUAGUGCAGAGGUAGGCGGAAUUCCCGGUGUAGCGGUGAAUGCGUAGAUAUCGGGAGGAACACCAGUGGCGAAGGCGGCCUACUGGGGCACCAACUGACGCUGAGGCUCGAAAGUGUGGGUAGCAAACAGGAUUAGAUACCCCAGU